rnacentral:lncRNA from 1 species
AGGGAAGCCUCCUAUACCGUCCCCUUCAUAUAGGCAGCAUAUGAGCUCACCAUCCAUGCAGCAAAGAUCACAUGUUCAGCAGCAACAGCACCAUCCCCUUCCUACUGCUUCACAGCAACAGCACCAUCCCCUUCCUACAGCUCCACAGCAACAGCACCAUCCCCUGCCUUCAGCUUCACAGCAAACAGCACCAUCCCCCUGCCUUCAGCUUCACCGCAACAGCACCAUCCCCUGCCUUCAGCGUCACAGCAACAGCACCAUCCCGUGCCUUCAGCUUCACAGCAACAGCACCAUCCUCUGCCUUCAGCUUCACAGCAACAGCAUACAUCACCGGCGCAGCAGCAACAACCUUCUUCGUCGCAUCAGGGACCCGAGCAUUUUGGGCAACACGUUCAACCAUCAAGGAUCCCACAAACAACCCCC